GAAAUGCGAUAAGUAAUGUGAAUUGCAGAAUUCAGUGAAUCAUCGAAUCUUUGAACGCACCUUGCGCUCCUUGGUAUUCCUUGGAGCAUGCCUGUUUGAGUAUCAUGAAAUCUUCAAAGUAAAUCUUUUGUUAACUCAAUUGGUUUCUACUUUGGUAUUGGAGGUCUUUGCAGCUUCACACCUGCUCCUCUUUGUUCAUUAGCUGGAUCUCAGUGUUAUGCUUGGUUCCACUCGGCGUGAUAAGUUAUCUAUCGCUGAGGACACUGUAAAAGGUGGCCAAGGUAAAUGCAGAUGAACCGCUUCUAAUAGUCCAUUGACUUGGACAAUACUUUUAUGAUCUGAUCUCAAAUCAGGUAGGACUACCCGCUGAACUAAGC
rnacentral:misc_RNA from 1 species